rnacentral:rRNA from 1 species
UACGAAGGGGGCUAGCGUUGCUCGGAAUUACUGGGCGUAAAGCGCACGUAGGCGGCUCUUUAAGUCGGGGGUGAAAUCCUGGAGCUUAACUCCAGAACUGCCUUCGAUACUGUAGAGCUUGAGUUCGGGAGAGGUGAGUGAAACUGCGAGUGUAGAGGUGAAAUUCGUAGAUAUUCGCAAGAACACCAGUGGCGAAGGCGGCUCACUGGCCCGAUACUGACGCUGAGGAACGAAAGCUAGGGGAGCAAACGGG